rnacentral:rRNA from 1 species
AUUGAACGCUGGCGGCAUGCCUUACACAUGCAAGUCGAACGGUAACAGGUCUUCGGAUGCUGACGAGUGGCGAACGGGUGAGUAAUACAUCGGAACGUGCCUAGUAGUGGGGGAUAACUACUCGAAAGAGUGGCUAAUACCGCAUGAGAUCUACGGAUGAAAGCAGGGGUUCGCAAGACCUUGUGCUACUAGAGCGGCCGAUGGCAGAUUAGGUAGUUGGUGGGAUAAAAGCUUACCAAGCCGACGAUCUGUAGCUGGUCUGAGAGGACGAUCAGCCACACUGGGACUGAGACACGGCCCAGACUCCUACGGGAGGCAGCAGUGGGGAAUUUUGGACAAUGGGCGAAAGCCUGAUCCAGCAGUGCCGCGUGCAGGAUGAAGGCCUUCGGGUUGUAAACUGCUUUUGUACGGAACGAAAAGCCCCGGGUUAAUACCCUGGGGUCAUGACGGUACCGUAAGAAUAAGCACCGGCUAACUACGUGCCAGCCGCCGCUGUAA